UACGUAGGGGGCAAGCGUUGUCCGGAAUUAUUGGGCGUAAAGCGUGCGCAGGCGGUUGUGUAAGACAGAUGUGAAAUCCCCGGGCUCAACCUGGGAACUGCAUUUGUGACUGCACAGCUGGAGUGCGGCAGAGGGGGAUGGAAUUCCGCGUGUAGCAGUGAAAUGCGUAGAUAUGCGGAGGAACACCGAUGGCGAAGGCAAUCCCCUGGGCCUGCACUGACGCUCAUGCACGAAAGCGUGGGGAGCAAACAGG
rnacentral:rRNA from 1 species